ACUCUACAUGCAAACUCUAUCUACACCCCCCUUAAAAAAAAACCCUGCUGAAGAAUACUGUUAGGUCGAAACGUGUACAGGGUUGCCUUUCCUAUUCAAAUUCAAUCUCUCGCUCUUUGAUAUCCUCGCUUUCUAUCGUGUCACAUGAUAAUUACGUAAUUCAGUUUCUAUCUAAUCGUAGUUUCCCUGUUUUUUUUUGCGUACAUGUUCAUCACAGGAGUCGUAGUAAAUAAAAAAAGGAUAACCAUUUUGGACUACUGGUCCAGUGGUCCUCUGAUGAGGGUUAGCCUUACUUGUAGCCUCUCCCAUAAUUACAGGUGUUUCAAAAAAGGUUUUCGUUUCAAAAUCUCAAACCUUAAACUGUGAGACCAAUCAAAAUUCAAGCAAAACCCC